AAAAAGGAAAGGGAAUCGGUGGCUUCCACGAGCAAAACGCGAGCCUCCCAUGGCGGCAGUGCUUCUCUCGUAACAGCAGCAACAACAGUACUACAGUCUGAUUCAAGCGUGAUCGGAGCCUGAUGAAGCCCUUGGUUCAGCAGAUGGCGGAGCGCGAACGUGAGGGCCUGAAAUUCCGCGAUCAAGGUUGAUGCUGCUGGAAAUCGUGCUGUAUAAACAUCAGUAAGGCGACCAUACUGAUCUCUGCAGAUCGAAGCCAUCGAUCCAUGUGUGCUCCCUGGCUGAAAAGAAGCGUCGACAUUACAUUUCAAGGUGCCUGGUGCCGGUGGAUGCUAGAUCUAACUUUGUUUCUUCUUUCCUGUAGAUCGUGAUGAAGAGGAUGAGAGGGAAACCUCGUAAAGUCGCGUCUAUGAGAGUGCAUUCUCUGUUGCUAAAGAAGGAUCCGGCCGAUCGCCCCUGAAGAUAAAACUGUUCCUCAUUCGCCAUAUUUGCCAAAGGACAUUGGCGAUGAGCUCCAGAGCAAGUGAGUUAUUAGGCGAUUCAGCUUUUUCUGUCAACCAAACUUCUAUACGAGUGACCGAACUAAGCUGGAU
rnacentral:lncRNA from 1 species